rnacentral:misc_RNA from 1 species
GUGUGGUGUGUAUGUAAAGCACCACAUGGUUUGCGACUUAAAUGGUGUACAAUUGAACGUUGUGCAAUUGAAUGGUGUGCAAUUGAACGGUGUGCAACUGAAUGGUGCGCAAUUGAACGGUGUGCAAUGUUUCGUGUCUAAUAGCACGGUGGACAAUUGCAACGUGUCCAAUUGUACUGUGCGCAAAUGAAGGCCUCUUGUCCCUCUCCACUCAGGGAUUCACAACCGGCGCCUUCGAGGCCGAGCGACAUUUCAGUAGGUGAUCUUACGUCCGACGGAAGGGCUUCAUCAAAGCUCCCGCCUGUGAAAGCUGUACAGCUUUUACUCGAUCCGGCUGUUUCGACACAGGUUGAGAAAGAUACGCAGAGGUUUGCUAAUAAGCUCUUUGGCCCGGAAUUAGCAGAAUCAAACACAGUUCCUUGGAAUGAAUUAAUCUCUCGGAAGUGGCUAGAGGUCACGCGCAAGGUCCUGUCGCCGGACAGCCGAGACCUGCUUAAGAGAUACAUUCCAUCGGACCCUCUGGAAUUUCUCAGAGCGCUUAAGUUAAAUUCAGAAAUUAAAUCAGCCCUUCGAAGUAACGCUAUCAUCAAGCGUGAUGAACAUUACGCCAAAGAUCAGGGGCAAGCAAGGAUCGCUGUGCGCCCUUGGAGAAGCCUUAUCAGAUUUUCUGAAACCACAGGUACAACAAUCUCUUGAUGCCGAAGCACGCCAUGUGGUCACAAAGGUGAGCGAGGCUGCUAAGAUCCUGGCAGAUUUUUUUAUCGCCUAUCGGUAUCCAGAAGAAAUCCUGACAGCUCUCAACCUCGUUGCCAAGAAUGUGGUCGAGGCCACCCGGUAGAUCAUUUUCUUUUUUGCGCCUUCUUUGGCGAGGAUUUUAAGAAGGCGUCCGCUAUAGAAAAGUCGUCGAGGGAUAUCGCCAGGGCAUCGGUGCUGACAAUUGCCAAAAAGGUAUAGUAGCCUGUUAAGCCGCCCAGCCGCACAGCUCCCCCGACUUCGGGAAACUUCCGAGUCCCUGCCCCGCGAGCCAGGCCGACAACAAGGAGGGCAGGGACAUCGAGCGGCCAUCGUUGACCGACCCAUUGCUCCAGAUCGCGCUUGAGGAGGCGAUAAAUGACGAGCAGAUAAAGAUCGCUGACAGACUUUUCUUUUUUCUUCCUCAAUGGAAGAAAAUUACUUCCGACACAAGGAUUUUGCAAGCAAUCAUAGGCUACAGACUUCCCUUCAGGUCCCACCCUCCUGUCCAGGUGAGAGAACCCUCAGGGCAUUUCUCAAGCGAGGAGGAACAAAUCUGCUCCCUCGAGUUGGUUAGACUCUGUGAGAGAGAUGCGAUUGAGGCGGUCGCAGACUGUGAGGAGCAAUUUUUUUCAUCGUAUUUUGUUAUUAAAAAUCUUCCGGUGGAUGGAGAUUGAUUUUGAACUUAAAACAACUUAAUAAAUUUAUUGUAGCUCCACACCUCAAAUGGAGAAUUGAAAGACUGUGGUUCGCCUUUUCUCACCGGGAGAUUUUUUGGCUUUUUUAGAUCUAGAAGAUGCCUAUCUUUUACCGAUUCAUCAGGACGACAGAAAGUUUCUUCGUUUCCGUUUCCGAAACCAACUCUUCCAGUUCACAGGUCUUCCUUUUGGACUGUCUUCCGCCCCAUUUAUAUUUACAAAGAUUUUGAAGCCGGCAAUUUAUUUUCUCCGGGAGAAAGUAUUUUUUCCCGUAAAUUACCUAAACGAUUUUCUGCUGAUUGCUCAGUCCUACGAGCAAUGUCUUGAGAACAUUGCUACAACAAGAAAUUUAUUAUCAUCUUUAGAUUUUAUUAUUAAUAAACAGAAAAGCGCCCUGACACGAACAAGAUCUUGUCGAUUUUUAGGCUUUAAUUUCGAUACAAACUAUUUUUCAAUUUCGAUUCCGGCAAACAGGAGAAGCAGGCUCCUCCAGAUGACAGAGGAAUUCUCGAACAAAAAAUGUUGCAAGAUUCGAGCCUUUGCGAGCUUCAUUGACUUACUGGUGUCUGUCUACCCAGCCGUACAAUAUGAAGACCGACAAUCGAGAGUACUUCUUUCCAAUCGGUGAUCUUGGGCUCUCAUUAACUGAGCGGAUUCAGCGUAACACUUAGUUUGUCUUAGUUAAAUUGGCAAUGUUCAAAAUUUGUUUCUUAGCCGAAUAGUGACGUCACUCGCUCGUAUUUGGUCCAAAUUGCAAAAAAAA